rnacentral:rRNA from 1 species
UACGAAGGGUGCAAGCGUUACUCGGAAUUACUGGGCGUAAAGCGUGCGUAGGUGGUUUUUUAAGUCCGUUGUGAAAGCCCUGGGCUCAACCUGGGAAUGGCAGUGGAUACUGGAAAGCUAGAGUGCGGUAGAGGGUAGUGGAAUUCCCGGUGUAGCAGUGAAAUGCGUAGAUAUCAGGAGGAACACCUGCGGUGUAGACGGCUUACUGGACGGUAACUGACGCUGAGGCACGAAAGCGUGGGUAGCAAACAGG